UACUUAAAUAGCUUAUUUAGAGCAUGAUAUUGAAGAUAUCAGGGAGAUAGUUAUAUCUUUGAGUAU
rnacentral:tRNA from 1 species